rnacentral:rRNA from 1 species
GGUCGAGCGAGGCUCUGGGUCACCUCCCACCCGUGUCUAUCGUACCUUGUUGCUUCGGCGGGCCCGCCGUUUCGACGGCCGCCGGGGAGGCCCUGCGCCCCCGGGCCCGCGCCCGCCGAAGACCCCAACAUGAACGCUGUUCUGAAAGUAUGCAGUCUGAGUUGAUUAUCGUAAUCAGUUAAAACUUUCAACAACGGAUCUCUUGGUUCCGGCAUCGAUGAAGAACGCAGCGAAAUGCGAUAAGUAAUGUGAAUUGCAGAAUUCAGUGAAUCAUCGAGUCUUUGAACGCACAUUGCGCCCCCUGGUAUUCCGGGGGGCAUGCCUGUCCGAGCGUCAUUGCUGCCCUCAAGCACGGCUUGUGUGUUGGGCCCCCGUCCCCCUCUCCCGGGGGACGGGCCCGAAAGGCAGCGGCGGCACCGCGUCCGGUCCUCGAGCGUAUGGGGCUUUGUCACCUGCUCUGUAGGCCCGGCCGGCGCCAGCCGACACCCAACUUUAUUUUUCUAAGGUUGACCUCGGAUCAGGUAGGGAUACCCGCUGAACUUAAGCAUAUCAAA